GGGCAGCGAUAAAGUAAAACGCAUUUCGGUUGGCAAGGAGCUCUUGAUAGAGGGGGUCACGGCUAUGACGCCGGUGAAAAAAAGUGAGGAAAACAUUUCUUACAAUUCGGUGGAGGUUCACCUUGACACUCAGGCUCCUCGUAUUGGAAGUGGACGAGCAGGAUACUAUCACGUGCGCUCCAUCGGACCACCAACACAAGCUGAGUGAAUGACACAGUGGAAAAUUUUUAAGCUCGUGGUGGCAUUUUCCCAGCGUUACUCUCUUAGCCAGCGGGGAUUAUAUGUAACGCCUCAUAUUAUGAGGCACUUUCCAAGCUUUAUCUUCUGCGGCACAAACGAUCAUCACUGCAAAAUGGCUAGAUGAACGACAUGGCUCACCUCUUCCAACUGCAUCGAACAAGAUCGUGCAGUGGUUAUAAAUCUGAGCCGAGCCUGGGAAGAAGUGUAAUCAAAUCUAAGUGUUCUGCAGUUUCCCGUGCAUCCAGUCAACAAAAACAAUGUGUUUUUGACGAGUGAACCAAAGCUACAAUGACAAUACUUUCUUACUGUUUUACUGUGAAGAGAGGUGCACUUAUCCAACAACCUUGUCACAAACAUAAUGAUAACUUUCCGA